rnacentral:rRNA from 2 species
AUUUAGUAGACAGAAGCUUAGGUGGAAGAUUACUAAUGAGAGUGGCGAACGGGUGAGUAACGCGUGAGCAACCUGCCUAUGACAGUGGGAUAGCCUCGGGAAACCGGGAUUAAUACCGCGUAAAAUCGUAGAAACACAUGUUUUAACGGUCAAAGAUUUAUCGGUCAUAGAUGGGCUCGCGUCUGAUUAGCUAGUUGGUGAGAUAACAGCCCACCAAGGCGACGAUCAGUAGCCGGUCUGAGAGGAUGAACGGCCACAUUGGAACUGAGACACGGUCCAAACUCCUACGGGAGGCAGCAGUGGGGAAUAUUGCACAAUGGGGGAAACCCUGAUGCAGCGACGCCGCGUGAACGAAGAAGGUAUUCGUAUCGUAAAGUUCUGUCCUAUGGGAAGAUAAUGACAGUACCAUAGAAGAAAGCUCCGGCUAAAUACGUGCCAGCAGCCGCGGUAAUACGUAUGGAGCGAGCGUUGUCCGGAAUUAUUGGGCGUAAAGGGUACGCAGGCGGUUUAAUAAGUCGAAUGUUAAAGAUCGGGGCUCAACCCCGUAAAGCAUUGGAAACUGAUAAACUUGAGUAGUGGAGAGGAAAGUGGAAUUCCUAGUGUAGUGGUGAAAUACGUAGAUAUUAGGAGGAAUACCAGUAGCGAAGGCGACUUUCUGGACACAAACUGACGCUGAGGUACGAAAGCGUGGGGAGCAAACAGGAUUA